rnacentral:sRNA from 1 species
CACACGCAAGGGGCGGAGCCUGAGCUUUAUCGGGGUCCAUCCGGUGGCCGAUGGGAGAGAUCCUUCGGCCCACAAUCCUCUUGCGGAGGUCAAACCGGAAAACCAGGAGAGCA